UGGGGAAUUUUGGUCAAUGGAGGCAACUCUGAACCAGCCAUGCCGCGUGCAGGAAGACGGCCCUCUGGGUUGUAAACUGCUUUUAUUCGGGAAUAAACCUAUCUACGUGUAGAUAGCUGAAUGUACCGAAGGAAUAAGGAUCGGUUAACUCCGUGUUAGCAGUCGCGGUAAUACGGAGGAUCCAAGCGUUAUCCGGAUUUAUUGGGUUUAAAGGGUGCGUAGGUGGCUUAUUAAGUUAGGGGUGAAAGAUGGUAGCUCAAUUAUCGCAGUGCUCUUGAUACUGAUGGGUAUGAAUGAACUAGAGGUAGGCGGAAUGUGACAAGUAGUGGUGAAAUGCAUAGAUAUGUCACAGAACACCGAUUGCGAAGGCAGCUUACUAUGGUUUUAUUGACGCUGAGGAACGAAAGCGUGGGGAUCAAACA
rnacentral:rRNA from 1 species